rnacentral:rRNA from 1 species
UACGGAGGGGGCUAGCGUUGUUCGGAAUUACUGGGCGUAAAGCGCACGUAGGCGGCUUUGUAAGUUAGAGGUGAAAGCCCGGGGCUCAACUCCGGAAUUGCCUUUAAGACUGCAUCGCUAGAAUUGUGGAGAGGUAAGUGGAAUUCCGAGUGUAGAGGUGAAAUUCGUAGAUAUUGGGAAGAACACCAGUGGCGAAGGCGGCUCUCUGGCUCGGUACUGACGCUGAGGCGGCGAAAAGCGUGGGGAGCAAACAGG